rnacentral:rRNA from 1 species
UAAUACGUAGGUGGCGAGCGUUGUCCGGAUUUAUUGGGCGUAAAGAGCCCGCAGGCGGCCUGGUUAGUCUCAGGUGAAAUCUCCCGGCUUAACUGGGAGAGGUCCUGGGAAACUGCCAGGCUUGAGGCAGGGAGAGGGAUGUGGAAUUCCCGGUGUAGUAGUGAAAUGCGUAGAUAUCGGGAGGAACACCAGUGGCGAAGGCGGCAUCCUGGCCCUGUCCUGACGCUCAGGGGCGAAAGCGUGGGGAGCAAACCGG